rnacentral:misc_RNA from 1 species
UGUGGGAGCGAGCUUGCUCGCGAUGGCGGUGAGUCAGGCAGCAUCAAUGCUGGAUGCUCCGUCGCUAUCGCGAGCAAGCUCGCUCCCACA